ensembl:snRNA U6 U6 spliceosomal RNA
GUACUCACUUUGGCAGCACAUAUACUAAAAUGGGAAUGAUACCAAGAAGAUUAGCAUGAUCUCUGUGCAAGGAUGAAACACAAAUUCAUGAAGCAUUCUAUAAAAAA